UGAAGAGUCAGCCAUUUUGACAAAGCUUUCUUAAAAAAAGUUUUACGCGCGUGCUUGCAACUGUCGUUUUACUUGAGUCGCGCACGCUCUAUCACAGCCUACACGUCGAUUUCCAGUCGUUUAUUAAGUCACAAUCCAAAAUGAGUGGUCGCGGCCCUCCUCGUAUCGAAGGUAUGACCUCUUUGAAAGUUGACAACCUCACUUAUCGUACUACAUGCGAAGAUUUGCGUCGAGUAUUCGAAAAAUAUGGAGAUGUAGGAGAUGUUUACAUCCCCAAGGAUCGCUUUUCUAGAGAAAGUCGUGGUUUCGCUUUUGUCAGGUUUUAUGACAGACGUGAUGGAGAAGAUGCCAUGCAUGCUAUGGAUGGUAGGAUGAUGGAUGGACGGGAACUAAGAGUUCAGUUGGCUCGUUAUGGACGUCCUGAUGACCCACCUAGACGCAGUGGACGUAGUUCAAGAAGGAGAAGGUCUCGUUCUCGUAGUCGUUCACGUGACCGCCGAUCCAGAUCUCGAUCUCGUUCACGCAGUCGCAGCCGAGACCGUGAUGACAAACGAGGUAGUCGCCGUGACGAUGAUCGUCGAAGCAAGAAGAAGAGCAAAUCCAGGUCUCGCAGUCGCAGCGACAGUCGCGAGCGAAGCCGUGAUCGGAGUCGUGAUCGAAGCCGCUCUCGCAGCAAGAGCCCAAGAGAGGAAGGUGGAAACAGAUCUCCGGUCGUGAAAGAAGAGCCCGCAGCUGAGGUAGACCGAAGAAAUCACGAUGAAGAAGACAACGGACAUGAUGAUCGUCGUAGUCGCGAUCGUGAGCACGACGACGAUAACGACCACAGACGCUCUGCAUCACGCUCGCGAUCUCGCUCGCGUUCACGAUCUGGUUCAAAGGAUUGAAGUUUUUAAAAGGAAUCGUGCGCCGUGUAUGGGACUUGAAAAGGGGGGCUGUGGUGAUUUUUUUUUUCUUUUUGUUUUUCUGGUGGAGGCUGCACACACGAAGCGACACGAAAUUGGCGCGGUUUCGUCCGUUAAUCGAGAGGCGAGCUGCCCGGGGGUGGUUUCCUGAGCUUGCUGUGUUAGCUGUGCUGAUGAUUGCCGUUGUGGCCGAGAUGUGAAGCCGGUGGCAGAGCCGAGUUCAGCUGCAGCCGCGUGUCCUGACUUGUUUUCCCGCCAGCUGAAAGCUGUCCGUAAAGACGCCCGAAUUCUCUUUCCUUUAGCCUUUGUGCGAGACAUUCAACUCGAUUUGAGCAGUUUGGCGUCUCCUACCUGUUGGCUGAAGCUGCUGGCCGUGCUCCCGCCAUUUCAGGGACAGGGUGUUUUCUUCCUUCGGAGAUGAGGAGCGGGACUGGUGGUGGUGCGAGGAAGCGGAUCCGGGGCAGGAGGACAUCUCUUCCCCGUUGCGGCGGCUAUUUUUUUUUUCUUUCUCUUCUUUUAUUAUACAAAACAAAGCAACCAACAACAAAAGAAUUCAUUUUCAGGUGUUUCUUAUUGCCGAGAAAGUGCCUUGCAGAUUCGUGCGGUGCCGCCAGUUUUUACUCCCUUCAUUUUUCGCGGCGCUGAAUGGAACGAAAACAGAACCCCAAAAAUGGGCCCCGGCUGUCCUCAUUAACCGGAUGGGUAGCCGCCGCGUGAACACUGAAUCUCAUUGGUCGACCCUGGUGGUGGUGUGUAGCUUCGCUAGGGGGAGGUGGGAAUUCCCUGGCACACAAGAAAUUUGCAGCAACAACCGAACGACAUAAAAUGCCUGGAAAAGGAAAAGAAAAAAAAGUUUGUUGGUGUCUACCGAGGAGGGUUCUCACGCGAUGUAGAUAUUGCAUGAUGCUUAUUGCGAUGAUACAACCGAGCGACUUGUUCUCCGGUAAGUAGCUAGACUGCACGUCGAUAACGACUGUAGGGUUCUUCCAUUUUCUUUUAGCUCCCAACCUAAAUUAUAAACCAACGGCGUAGUAAAGCGGCGACUAGUGUGGCGUAGCAUUUCCAGGCGCUGUCUAGGGAGUGGCGGCAUCCAUCCCCCUUAAAGGGUGCAUUGUCUCGGUCACUGGACUCGACUAGAAUUUGCCCGUUAGGUUAAUACCUACUUUGGACGAGUCAACGUGUGAUAAGGACUCCAACCGCAGAUCGCCCAAAGGUUCGCCUCUUGCCAACAAAAACCAGUCACUCACGUUUCCAAUGAGCAUUCGACAGAAGGUAAUGUGCGCACAUUUUCGUCAACGUACAUUUUGCAAAAAUUAUUUUUCUCUUUUUAGUUUUAUGUGGAACUUUUUUUUUCGUUUGGUAAUAAACAGAUUGUUGAUGGCA